AUCGAUUCAGGAAAUACAGCUUAGAAGUAUCAAAUUCCUCUGAUGCAGAACAAUGGGAAGAAUGCUACAAAGCUAACACAUCGGAUUCCAGUAUACCUUUAAGUAUACUGAAUAUUUCAUGUAAAAGAACAGCCAGAUACCUCAGAAUUAUAACAAACUAUGACGCUCCUGAAGACGAUGCAUUCUCUGAAAAGGCUCCUAUACCUAAAGUUUGUGAAAUUCAAAUUUAUGGUUCUGAUAUAGGUUGUUACGGUCCAAACCGUUCACGCUGUGAAGAUUGUGAGCAUUGCGAUACUGAAACUGGCUGCCGAAACAAUGAGGCGUCAGAGAAAAAUGAAAUAACAAAAGUUCACUCUGUUCUGUACGGCGUGGUUACAUUUCUCAUUUUAAGUAUAUUUGUGAACACAUUUUUCAUUGCGUGGUAAG